CACGUAGGGCGCAAGCGUUGUCCGGAAUUAUUGGGCGUAAAGAGCUCGUAGGCGGUUUGUUACGUCUGUUGUGAAAACCCAGGGCUUAACCCUGGGCUUGCAGUGGAUACGGGCAGACUAGAGGCAGGUAGGGGAGAAUGGAAUUCCCGGUGUAGCGGUGAAAUGCGCAGAUAUCGGGAGGAACACCGGUGGCGAAGGCGGUUCUCUGGGCCUGACCUGACGCUGAGGAGCGAAAGCGUGGGGAGCGAACAGG
rnacentral:rRNA from 1 species